rnacentral:lncRNA from 1 species
GUGUGUGUGUGUGUGUGUGUGUGUGUGUAACGCCAAAAAUAAACCCUUUUACUUUGAACUUUAGAUGGCUACAAUAAAUAUCCGAACCAUGUCAAUCCUAGGUUUUAUGAAAAAGCCCAUCAUCACAAGAUCAAAACUAACAAGAUACCAUGCACUCUGAUUUCUAUAUAGAUUUAAACCUUACCAAGAAGGUCCCCUAUUUGGAUUCACAAGCACAUGUAGAGCCAUUAGUGGAUGGCUAAGGCCGAUGUGAGACAUAUAACCAUUACCAUUUUAGGACUAUGUGAUGAAAGAAGAUAGCCAUGACAUCUCAAUCAUUCUUUCUACUAAAUAUGUAUUUGGCUUUACGGACAAAUGCUACCUCCAAGACGAUCAAUAAAGUUUAUAUUUGUUUCAUAUUAAUCAAUAAAGUUUAAUGAUAACUGUGCAUAUUAACGUCGAUGUUGUUAAUACCGGUGUCCAAUUGGUCAAUUG